rnacentral:rRNA from 1 species
UACGUAGGACCCAAGCGUUAUCCGGAUUUACUGGGCGUAAAGCGUGUGUAGGCGGCGCAUUAAGUGAGAUGUGAAAUCUGGUGGCUCAACCAUCUAGACUAUAUCUCAUACUGGUGUGCUUGAGGAAGGCAGAGGCAAGUGGAAUUACGGGUGUAGCAGUGAAAUGCGUAGAGAUCCGUAGGAACACCAAUGGCGAAGGCAGCUUGCUGGGCCUUAUCUGACGCUGAGACACGAAAGCGUGGGGA